GCGGGUGUGGUGGAACUGGCAGACACGCUAGACUUAGGAUCUAGUGCCUUACGGCGUGGGGGUUCGACUCCCUCCACCCGCA
rnacentral:tRNA from 2 species